rnacentral:rRNA from 1 species
UGGGGAAUAUUGCACAAUGGGCGCAAGCCUGAUGCAGCCAUGCCGCGUGUAUGAAGAAGGCCUUGGGUUGUAAAGUACUUUCAGCGGGGAGGAAGGUGUUGAGGUUAAUAACCUCAGCAAUUGACGUUACCCGCAGAAGAAGCACCGGCUAACUCCGUGUCAG